rnacentral:rRNA from 1 species
CCUACGGGAGGCAGCAGUGGGGAAUAUUGCACAAUGGGGGAAACCCUGAUGCAGCGAAGCCGCGUGAGUGAAGAAGUAUUUCGGUAUGUAAAGCUCUAUCAGCAGGGAAGAAAAUGACGGUACCUGAUUAAGAAGCCCCGGCUAACUACGUGCCAGCAGCCGCGGUAAUACGUAGGGGGCAAGCGUUAUCCGGAUUUACUGGGUGUAAGGGGAGCGUAGACGGCAGCACAAGUCUGGAGUGAAAUGCCGGGGCUUAACCCCGGAACUGCUGUGGAAACUGGGCAGCUAGAGUGAAGGAGAGGUAAGUGGAAUGCCUGGUGUAGCGGUGAAAUGCGUAGAUAUUAGGAGGAACACCAGUGGCGAAGGCGGCUUACUGGACUGUAACUGGCGUUGAGGCUCGAAAGCGUGGGGAGCAAACAGGAUUAGAUACCCUGGUAGUC